rnacentral:lncRNA from 1 species
GACCCUUUCAUUUAUAUAUGCACAUGCGGAAGCAGUUAUAAUUCCCCAGACAAUAAAGCAAUGGGAUAGAAAAGCAGGCCAUACAUUUUUUCAUACUGAAAAUUCCCAACUACAACUUUUUUACAUGCAAACAAGGUCUGACAAGACAGGAUAGGAUUUCGGUCCUCAUCCGGGUCGUACUCGAGGUCCUCCUCCACGUACUCCUCUUCGGGUUCCUCAUCAAGGACCUCCUCAUCAGAUUCAUGCUCCUUAGGCUCCUCAUCCAGGUCCUGAAAUGGUUAUUCAAUAACCACUGAGACCACGUCUCAGCAAGUUCUACUCCCUAAGACCCGAUUAGUAAACUAAUAUACCUUAGGGCUGCCUAUGCACAACAUGAGUUAGAAGACUUACCUUAGCCUCAGAUUCCACCUGCAUAUUAGUACAGAUUAAAUAGGCACACAAGCAAGCACAUCACAGAUCGAAGCAUCGACCUAAUCGACUUAGUCGAUUUCACAUCAGGAAGACCACUCAUGAUCAUCUCCCUUCAAUCAUUCAAUUCAACACAUCAAACCAAGGCAAUGAAUCACAUCAAGACACACUCAGAUCGAAUCAUCGAUCAAUCGACCUAGUCGAAUCAUUUCUAGGUCAUUCAUCCAACACCAAGCAAUUCCUUAGAUUUAGUGGCUUUACGGUCCCACCCGACCCUCUCAAGAACUAGUGGCUUUUCGGUCCCACCCGACCCUCUCAAGAACUAGUGGCUUUGCGGUCCCACCCGACCCUCUCGAGAACUAGUGGCUUUUCGGUCCCACCCGACCCUCUCGAGAACUAGUGGCUUUUCGGUCCCACCCGACCCUCUCGAGAACUAGUGGCUUUACGGUCCCACCCGACCCUCUCAAGAACUAGUGGCUUUACGGUCCCACCCGACCCUCUCGAGAACUAGUGGCUUUACGGUCCCACCCGACCCUCUCAAGAUGUCAUACUAUGUCACCGAGCCACGUGCAUUCUCCAGGAAGACAUACCGAGUCUCCGAGCCACGUGCAUUCUCCAGGAAGACAUACCGAGUCUCCGAGCCACGUGCAUUCUCUAAGGCUACCUUUUCGCCAAGAGGACAUAUCAAAUCACCGAGCCACGUGUCUUUCCCAAGUGAUAUUCCAAUUCACUGGGCCACGUGCAUCCUCAAGGUGAUUUACCAACUCACUUUCGAUACUAACAACCGAUAUCCGACCAAGUCUCAAUCACAAGACCAAAAUUGCAUUAUUUAAUAACAUACUUAAAAAUGCACCAUUAAAUCAAUUCGACACGAAUUAAAGCUCAAAUAAAUAAACGGACUGCUCCACGACAAUCAGCACGAAAUUCCGGUCACCGGCCAUCCCGGUUGAAUUUCCGGAAAAUAAAUAAUUAAAUAAUUAAUUUCGAAAAUUAAUAAAUAAAUACAAUAAAUUCAAUUUAGCACAAUAUAAAGCUCAAUUAAAUAAACGGACUGCGCCACGAUCAUCAGCAUAAAAUCCCGGUCACUGGCCAUCCCAGUUGAAUUUCCGGGAAAUAAAUAAUUAAAUAAUUAAUUUCGGAAAUUAAUAUUUAAUUCCUAAAAAUACCACUUAGGCCCGAAUUGCUUAAUUAACACCCGAUAAGGGACGGGAAAAAAUCCCAAGAAGCAUCCAAUAAAUACUACAUGCAAUUCUCUAUCUAAUUACACUAAUUACAUCACUAAUAUACAAAGCAAUUAACUAAUAAUCCCUAAUCCAUUCUAAUCUAACAACCUAAUUACACUUAAUUAACACUAAUCAACCUUUAAGUAUAAUUAGCAAACUAAGAAGGCAUUAGUGAGUAAAACUCACUUGAUUUAAGAUUUGCUCGGAUCAAAUCGACGAGCACGCAACAAAGCUCGGCUCUCUUCAAAGCGGUUCUGUCAACCGGAAUUGGGAUUGCUCAAAAACGGGCCACGGGACCUUCAAACCCUUGCUGUAAAAUAGCUGCUGAUCAAGAGUUCUAGGGCUGUCACGGGGGGCUAAACUGACUUCGCGGGUUGCUCAAAGUGGUGCCGAGAUGGACUGAAAACACAGGCUGAGGACUCGGCUUCGUGCAAGACAGUGGACGGCUGCUGCUUCCGUGGAGAUGAGGCAGUCUUGCAGACGAAAGAGGAGAUGAUCGCGGUUGGCUUCUUCGGCGGAGUCGCUGGAGUUGAUGCAACAGUCAACAAACCGACUGAGGGGAGGUGAGAUGGCGGUCAAAGACGGGGCAGAGAGACGGACAGCUCGCGGCAAGGAGAUGGGCUGCUUCGCGGUUUCGUUGGCGUGGGGAAAAGAGAACGUGGGGCGGCUGUGUCGCGGAGAUGCAGACACGGUCAGCAACUUAAGAGAUCUCCAUGGAGUGUUGACCGAGUAGGAGUCCUACACGGACGUGUGGCAGCUUGGAGAUGAGGAGAAAAUUGGAGCUCCGGUGGAUGCUCCGUUCGGUGGAGGUGGCCGCAAGAGAGAAAAUGAAGGAGCUGCUUCGUCCGUUGAACCAGCGAAAAGUAGAGAAAAUAAAGAAAAGGGAAGACAGCUAGGGGAUGUCGGCUGAAUGAGGGGAUAAACAUUGACUCAAGUCAAUGAAAUAAAGCCAAAGAAAAUUAAUCCUGCAGAGGCUGUCGGCUGGAGAAAGAAAAACGCACGAGAGAGAAAAGGAAUUUGUGUGGCCGAGAGAGAGGGGAUGUGCG